rnacentral:rRNA from 1 species
GACGAACGCUGGCGGCGUGCCUAAUACAUGCAAGUCGAACGCUUCUUUCCUCCCGAGUGCUUGCACUCAAUUGGAAAGAGGAGUGGCGGACGGGUGAGUAACACGUGGGUAACCUACCCAUCAGAGGGGGAUAACACUUGGAAACAGGUGCUAAUACCGCAUAACAGUUUAUGCCGCAUGGCAUAAGAGUGAAAGGCGCUUUCGGGUGUCGUUGAUGGAUGGACCCGCGGUGCAUUAGCUAGUUGGUGAGGUAACGGCUCACCAAGGCCACGAUGCAUAGCCGACCUGAGAGGGUGAUCGGCCACACUGGGACUGAGACACGGCCCAGACUCCUACGGGAGGCAGCAGUAGGGAAUCUUCGGCAAUGGACGAAAGUCUGACCGAGCAACGCCGCGUGGGUGAAGAAGGUUUUCGGAUCGUAAAACUCUGUUGUUAGAGAAGAACAAGGACGUUAGUAACUGAACGUCCCCUGACGGUAUCUAACCAGAAAGCCACGGCUAACUACGUG